UUGUACACACCGCCCGUCACACCAUGGGAGUGGGUUGCAAAAGAAGUAGGUAGCUUAACCUUCGGGAGGGCGCUUACCACUUUGUGAUUCAUGACUGGGGUGAAGUCGUAACAAGGUAACCGUAGGGGAACCUGCGGUUGGAUCACCUCCUUACCUUAAAGAA
rnacentral:rRNA from 3 species